AUGUGUUCAGCUUUUCUGAGGUCAAGAGGUUCUUCCGACGUACCGAGGCAGACUCCUGAGUUCUUAUCCAUUGUCACUCAGAAAGGUAUGGACAGACAUAGCCCAGAGUUGUGGCAGCCAUUAAUAGAUCAAGCAAGCCCAUGCAGCUGUGUUUUGAUCAGUGGAAAGGUUUCUGGCAUCCAAGAGCUGAAAUCACCUUUUGGGUCAUCACACCUCACUGGAGGUUUCCCUGCUUUAACGAGCAUCUCAGAAACCACAGAGAGGACUGGAGAAUGGGGGUCAUUGUACAUUCUUGUAUUUGAAAGCAGCUCCAUAGCAUCCGCAAGAGGAUUCUUGGCACCUGCCUAG
rnacentral:lncRNA from 1 species